AGAGUUUGAUUCUGGCUCAGGAUGAACGCUAGCUACAGGCUUAACACAUGCAAGUCGAGGGGCAGCAUUGGAGUAGCAAUACUUCAGAUGGCGACCGGCGCACGGGCGAGUAACACGUAUCCAACCUGCCGCUUACUCGGGGAUAGCCUUUCGAAAGAAAGAUUAAUACCCGAUGGUAUAAAGAGUUCGCAUGUUCUCUUUAUUAAAGAAUUUCGGUAAGCGAUGGGGAUGCGUUCCAUUAGAUAGUUGGCGGGGUAACGGCCCACCAAGUCUACGAUGGAUAGGGGUUCUGAGAGGUUGGUCCCCCACACUGGUACUGAGACACGGACCAGACUCCUACGGGAGGCAGCAGUGAGGAAUAUUGGUCAAUGGGCGGGAGCCUGAACCAGCCAAGUCGCGUGAAGGAAGAAGGAUCUAUGGUUCGUAAACUUCUUUUGCAGGGGAAUAAAGUGCAGGACGUGUCCUGUUUUGUAUGUACCCUGAGAAUAAGGAUCGGCUAACUCCGUGCCAGCCGCAGC
rnacentral:rRNA from 1 species